rnacentral:lncRNA from 1 species
UCUUUUCCUCAACAUAAUUUGCAUGUUGAUUGAUUUUAUUCCAACAAAACUUUUCUAUAUGUCCAUACCUUUUGCAGAAAUGGCAUUGCAUAUGAGAAUGGUUGCUGCUUUCUUGCUUGUUUGAUCCAUCUUGGUUUGCAUCAAAUCUUUCUCUACCAUGACCUCAGCCUCUAUCACGGCUUCAUCCAACAAAUCCACCUCUGCCUCGACCUCCUUUUGCAAAUUUGUUAGUGAUUUGGGCUGCCUUGUUUGAAGAAAUGUCUGGCCUUGCUUGAAGAGCAUUUUCAACAUUCUUUUCUUAAGACCUAUUAAUUCUCUUCUCAUGUGCUUGUAAGAAACUCAUUAGUUCAAUCAGAGAAUAAGAACUUAAAUCUUUAGACUCCUCUAUGGCUGCAACAACAUGAUCAAACUUGGUUGGUAAACACCAUAAGACUUUUUCAACAACUUUCUGAUCAGACAAAUCAUCUCCUAGAGUACGAAUUUGAUUAACAAUAAUUGUGAUUCUAGAAUAAAACUCUUGAAUAGAUUCGGUACCUUUCAUAAACAGAUUUUCAAAAUCAUGGCGAAGACCUUGAAGCUUUACCGUGAUAACCUUGUCUGAUCCUUGAUAUUCAUUCUUUAAGAUGGUCCAUGCUUCCUUGGAUUUUGUGGCUGCUACAAUCCUUGGAAAGAUAGAGUCAUGAACUGCUUACUAGAUCACUAACAAGGCUUUCAUAUCUUUCUUUCUUCAACUCCUUUUGCUCAGUCUUGUGUUGGUUGGAGAGAUCAGCUCCUGUUAAUUCUACAUAACCAUUCUCAACAAGCUCCCAUAAGUCUUGAGACAAAAAGAAAGUCUUCAUCUUUAUCAUCCAAAAUUCAUAGCAAUCUCCAUUAAAUAUGGGAACAAUAGAUUGAGAAAGAUUCAGUGUAUUACCAUUAGUUCUAGCAAUGUUAGUUCUUACAGAACUUCCGUCAAACACCUAACAUGCAGCAAUUCGUCUUUCUUUUUCUUUGUUGGUUUUUGCUAUAAAUCUUCAUGCCUAGGACCGCCUACUGCUGUAGAAGCAUCCAAACCAGUCUAUCUUUGAGCUCCAAGAAGAACAUGGCUCUGAUACCAAGUUUGUUGGAUAAAAAAUUUGAAUUGGACAACUGCAAUGUCCUUUUACUUCACCAAAAAUAAAGAACAGAGAAACAAGAUUCGGAAUAGGCUUGAAAACAAAACAACUUUAUUAAAAAUUGCUUACAAAUAGAAGAGAAGAGGCCUAUAUAUAUAUAGACACAACAAACUAAAACGUGGUCAGAAAAAUAGGAUAGUGCUUCUACUGGAAACAACUGAUACAGAGAGAUAAGCACAUAGUGCUGCUACUGGAGACAACUGAAACAAAAAAACAUGGGCUUAUCUCCUAAUAUUUUGCAUCAGUUUCAAUAGAUGGCCUCUUCCUUGCAACUUGGAUUAAUUUUAGUAAUCAAUUUUUUGAACUGUCUUUGUAGCCAUGCAUCAUGUUGGUUUCUAUCCGACCC